AAACCAGGCCAUUUUAAGUGGAACUUCUGGUAUUUUCUCUAUUCUUUACUCUUCCAGAAUGAGGUAGCUGUCUCUGUCCUGAUACCAGUUCUCAACUUGAGCAAAUUAGUGCCUCAGGCCACUUCAGAGAAAACAGAGCUCUCUGACUUCACCAGGAUUGAGCAAAAACUUAGUCAUUAACUGAGGAAGAAGUGUGGGUUGGCACAGCAAACCACAAAAAUCUCCAGUUCAAACACAAAUCCAAGAUUACAAGAGUUCUCCCUACACUGAUGUCUUCAUCUGUAUUAGGUUAUAAAUCCCUUGCGGGAUUUUCCAGAACUCAAACCCCACUUCCUCCAUAUGACUUCUUAUGUUCACAUGUAUUUUCCGAUCUGUUUUGCCAGUCAGGAUUUAAAAUAUUUUCUAAGCUACAUGUAUCUAACCAUGAGACCUAAACUAUCAGUUAUUUAAUAGUGUUUAUCAUUUGCCUUCUAAGUGAUGUGCUGGUCCUGGGGUAAGUGGUAAGCAAAACAGUAUGAGUCGAAAAAGUAUGGUUACCAUGUAAUAAAUAAAACAUAACCAUAUACAUGGAA